rnacentral:rRNA from 1 species
GGUUUUUUGAAUUAUAAUUUAAGAUUAGUUCUGCUCAAUGAUUUGAAAUUAAAUAGCCGCAGUAUCUUGACUGUGCUAAGGUAGCAUAAUCAAUUGUUUUUUAAUUAAGAACUGGAAUGAAGGAAUUGAUGAGAUUAAGACUGUCUAAUAUAAAAUGUUAAAAUUUAAAUUUUAAGUAAUAAUUCUUAAAUAAGGUUAUGGGACGAGAAGACCCUAUAGAAUUUGAUAUAAUUUUUUAAAAUAAGUAUAAAAUAAUAUUUAAUAAAAUUAAUAUUUUAUUGGGAGGAUAAUUAAAUUAAAUUAACUUUAAAAUAAGAAUUAAACAUUAAUUUAUGAUAAUAGUUGAAUAAUUUUAUUAUAAUAAUUAAAAUUAAUUAAAAAUUAAUUACCUUAGGGAUAACAGCGUAAUAUUUUUAAAAAGAUCAUAUUGAUAAAAGUGUUUGCGACCUCGAGAUGUUGAAUUAAAAUAAAAAUUAAAUGAAGAAGUUUAAUAUUUUA